rnacentral:tRNA from 1 species
GGGGAUUUAGCUCAGCGGCAUAAGCACCUGCCUUGCAAACAGGCAGUCGUGAAAGUCGUGAAUUCAAUCCCCG